rnacentral:rRNA from 1 species
UCGUCACACUAUCAUUAACUGAAUCCAUAGGUUAAUGAGGCGAACCGGGGGAACUGAAACAUCUAAGUACCCCGAGGAAAAGAAAUCAACCGAGAUUCCCCCAGUAGCGGCGAGCGAACGGGGAGGAGCCCAGAGCCUGAAUCAGCAUGUGUGUUAGUGGAAGCGUCUGGAAAGGCGCGCGAUACAGGGUGACAGCCCCGUACACAAAAGCGCAUGUGCUGUGAGCUCGAUGAGUAGGGCGGGACACGUGGUAUCCUGUCUGAAUAUGGGGGGACCAUCCUCCAAGGCUAAAUACUCCUGACUGACCGAUAGUGAACCAGUACCGUGAGGGAAAGGCGAAAAGAACCCCGGCGAGGGGAGUGAAAAAGAACCUGAAACCGUGUACGUACAAGCAGUGGGAGCACAGGUUUACCUGUGUGACUGCGUACCUUUUGUAUAAUGGGUCAGCGACUUAUAUUCUGUAGCAAGGUUAACCGAAUAGGGGAGCCGGAGGGAAACCGAGUCUUAAUUGGGCGUUAAGUUGCAGGGUAUAGACCCGAAACCCGGUGAUCUAGCCAUGGGCAGGUUGAAGGUUGGGUAACACUAACUGGAGGACCGAACCGACUAAUGUUGAAAAAUUAGCGGAUGACCUGUGGCUGGGGGUGAAAGGCCAAUCAAACCGGGAGAUAGCUGGUUCUCCCCGAAAGCUAUUUAGGUAGCGCCUCGUGAAUUCAUCUCCGGGGGUAGAGCACUGUUUCGGCUAGGGGGCCAUCCCGGCUUACCAACCCGAUGCAAACUGCGAAUACCGGAGAAUGUUAUCACGGGAGACACACGGCGGGUGCUAACGUCCGUCGUGAAGAGGGAAACAACCCAGACCGCCAGCUAAGGUCCCAAAGUCAUGGUUAAGUGGGAAACGAUGUGGGAAGGCCCAGACAGCCAGGAUGUUGGCUUAGAAGCAGCCAUCAUUUAAAGAAAGCGUAAUAGCUCACUGGUCGAGUCGGCCUGCGCGGAAGAUGUAACGGGGCUAAACCAUGCACCGAAGCUGCGGCAGCGAACGUAUCACUUAAAGCGAUUCAGCGGGUUACGAUUGACGGAGCGAAGCGACGUCAAAGCGUAUACAAAGUCGAGUCGGUUUAAGGAUACGUUCGUUGGGUAGGGGAGCGUUC